rnacentral:rRNA from 1 species
AUUGAACGCUGGCGGCAGGCCUAACACAUGCAAGUCGAGCGAGCGGCGGACGGGUGAGUAAUGUAUGGGGAACUGCCUGAUGGAGGGGGAUAACUACUGGAAACGGUAGCUAAUACCGCAUACCAUCAGAUGAACCCAUAUGGGAUUAGCUAGUAGGUGGGGUAAUGGCUCACCUAGGCGACGAUCCCUAGCUGGUCUGAGAGGAUGACCAUCCACACUGGAACUGAGACACGGUCCAGACUCCUACGGGAGGCAGCAGUGGGGAAUAUUGCACAAUGGGCGCAAGCCUGAUGCAGCCAUGCCGCGUGUGUUAAGAAGGCCUUCGGGUUGUAAAGUACUUUCAGUCGGGAGGCGUUACUCACAGAAGAAGCACCGGCUAACUCCGUGCCAGCAGCCGCGGUAAUAC